ACGGGAGGCAGCAGUGGGGAAUAUUGCACAAUGGGCGAAAGCCUGAUGCAGCGACGCCGCGUGAGUGAAGAAGUAUUUCGGUAUGUAAAGCUCUAUCAGCAGGGAAGAAAAUGACGGUACCUGACUAAGAAGCACCGGCUAAAUACGUGCCAGCAGCCGCGGUAAUACGUAUGGUGCAAGCGUUAUCCGGAUUUACUGGGUGUAAAGGGAGCGCAGACGGCAAGGCAAGUCUGAAGUGAAAGCUCGGGGCUCAACCCCGGAACUGCUUUGGAAACUGUUUAGCUAGAGUACAGGAGAGGUAAGUGGAAUUCCUAGUGUAGCGGUGAAAUGCUUAGAUAUUAGGAGGAACACCAGUGGCGAAGGCGGCUUACUGGACUGUAACUGACGUUGAGGCUCGAAAGCGUGGGGAGCAAACAGGAUUAGAUACCCUGGUA
rnacentral:rRNA from 1 species